rnacentral:rRNA from 1 species
UGGGGAAUCUUGCACAAUGGGGGCAACCCUGAUGCAGCGACGCCGCGUGAGCGAUGAAGCCCUUCGGGGCGUAAAGCUCUUUCGACCGGAACGAUAAUGACGGUACCGGGAGGAGAAGCUGCGGCUAACUACGUGCCAGCAGCCGCGGUAAUACGUAGGCAGCAAGCGUUGUUCGGGGUUACUGGGCGUAAAGAGUGCGUAGGCGGGUUUCUAAGUUCGGUGUGAAAUCUCCCGGCUUAACUGGGAGGGUGCGCCGCAGACUGGGAAGCUGGAGUGUGGGAAAGNCAGGCGGAAUUGCUGGUGUAGCGGUGAAAGGCGUAGAUAUCAGGAGGAACACCGGCGGUGUAGACGGCUUGCUGGACCAUAACCGACGCUGAGGCACGA